GACGAACGCUGGCGGCGUGCCUAAUACAUGCAAGUAGAACGCACAGUUUAUACCGUAGCUUGCUACACCAUAGACUGUGAGUUGCGAACGGGUGAGUAACGCGUAGGUAACCUGCCUGGUAGCGGGGGAUAACUAUUGGAAACGAUAGCUAAUACCGCAUAAUAUUAAUUAUUGCAUGAUAAUUAAUUGAACGGUGCAAUUGCACCACUACCAGAUGGACCUGCGUUGUAUUAGCUAGUAGGUGAGGUAACGGCUCACCUAGGCGACGAUACAUAGCCGACCUGGGAGGGAGAUCGGCCACACUGGGACUGAGACACGGCCCAGACUCCUACGGGAGGCAGCAGUAGGGAAUCUUCGGCAAUGGACGAAAGUCUGACCGAGCAACGCCGCGGGAGGGAAGAAGGUUUUCGGAUCGUAAAGCUCUGUUGUAAGAGAAGAACGGGUGUGAGAGUGGAAAGUUCACACUGUGACGGUAUCUUACCAGAAAGGGACGGCUAACUACGUG
rnacentral:rRNA from 1 species